AUUGAACGCUGGCGGCAUGCCUUACACAUGCAAGUCGAACGGCAGCACGGGAGCAAUCCUGGUGGCGAGUGGCGAACGGGUGAGUAAAGUAUCGGAACGUGCCCGGUCGUGGGGGAUAACGCAGCGAAAGCUGCGCUAAUACCGCAUACGAUCUGAGGAUGAAAGCGGGGGACCGUAAGGCCUCGCGCGAUCGGAGCGGCCGAUGUCAGAUUAGGUAGUUGGUGGGGUAAAGGCUCACCAAGCCGACGAUCUGUAGCUGGUCUGAGAGGACGACCAGCCACACUGGGACUGAGACACGGCCCAGACUCCUACGGGAGGCAGCAGUGGGGAAUUUUGGACAAUGGGCGCAAGCCUGAUCCAGCAAUGCCGCGUGCAGGAAGAAGGCCUUCGGGUUGUAAACUGCUUUUGUACGGAGCGAAAAGGCUCUCUCUAAUACAGGGGGCUCAUGACGGUACCGUAAGAAUAAGCACCGGCUAACUACGUGCCAGCAGCCGCAGUAA
rnacentral:rRNA from 1 species